GUAGUUAGCCGGGGCUUCCUCCUAAGCUACCGUCAUUCUUUUCGUCACUUAGGACAGAGGUUUACAACCCGAAAGCCUUCUUCCCUCACGCGGCGUUGCUGGGUCAGGCUUGCGCCCAUUGCCCAAUAUUCCCCACUGCUGCCUCCCGUAGGAGUCUGGACCGUGUCUCAGUUCCAAUGUGGCCGUUCACCCUCUCAGGUCGGCUACCCAUCGCUGUCUUGGUGGGCCGUUACCUCACCAACUAACUAAUGGGACGCGAGCUCACCCCAAACCGGAUUGCUCCUUUUCCCUCAAGGCCAUGUGACCUCGUGGGCUUACGCGGUAUUAGCAGAUGUUUCCAUCUGUUAUCCCCCUGUCUGGGACAGAUUGCUCACGCGUUACUCACCCGUCCGCCGCUAGGUUCGACCGAAGUCUCCCCUCGCUCGACUUGCAUGUGUUAGGCACGCCGCCAGCGUUCGUCCUGAGCCAGGAUCAAACUCUGA
rnacentral:rRNA from 1 species